rnacentral:rRNA from 1 species
AUGAACGCUGGCGGCGUGCUUAACACAUGCAAGUCGAACGGAAAGGCUCCUGCUUGCAGGGGUACUCGAGUGGCGAACGGGUGAGUAACACGUGGGUGAUCUGCCCUGCACUUCGGGAUAAGCCUGGGAAACUGGGUCUAAUACCGGAUAGGACGAUGGUUUGGAUGCCAUUGUGGAAAGUUUUUUCGGUGUGGGAUGAGCUCGCGGCCUAUCAGCUUGUUGGUGGGGUAAUGGCCUACCAAGGCGUCGACGGGUAGCCGGCCUGAGAGGGUGUACGGCCACAUUGGGACUGAGAUACGGCACAGACUCCUACGGGAGGCAGCAGUGGGGAAUAUUGCACAAUGGGCGCAAGCCUGAUGCAGCGACGCCGCGUGGGGGAUGACGGCCUUCGGGUUGUAAACUCCUUUCACUAGGGACGAAGCGCAAGUGACGGUACCUGGAGAAGAAGCACCGGCUAACUACGUG